rnacentral:rRNA from 1 species
GCAUGUGGUUUAAUUCGAAGCAACGCGAAGAACCUUACCAGGUCUUGACAUCCUUUGACCACUCUGGAGACAGAGCUUUCCCUUCGGGGACAAAGUGACAGGUGGUGCAUGGUUGUCGUCAGCUCGUGUCGUGAGAUGUUGGGUUAAGUCCCGCAACGAGCGCAACCCUUGAUUUUAGUUGCCAGCAUUUAGUUGGGCACUCUAAAGUGACUGCCGGUGCAAGCCGGAGGAAGGUGGGGAUGACGUCAAAUCAUCAUGCCCCUUAUGACCUGGGCUACACACGUGCUACAAUGGAUAGUACAAAGGGUCGCGAAGCCGCGAGGUGGAGCUAAUCCCAUAAAACUAUUCUCAGUUCGGAUUGUAGGCUGCAACUCGCCUACAUGAAGCCGGAAUCGCUAGUAAUCGUGGAUCAGCAUGCCACGGUGAAUACGUUCCCGGGCCUUGUACACACCGCCCGUCACACCACGAGAGUUUGUAACACCCGAAGUCGGUAGGGUAACCUUUAUGGAGCCAGCCGCCGAAGGUGGGACAGAUAAUUGGGGUGAAGUCGUAACAAGGUAGCCGUAUCGGAAGGUGCGGCUGGAUCACCUCCUU